rnacentral:lncRNA from 1 species
AGACGAAGAAGGGAGAUAUAGAGCCUUAAGGUCCAUCUCCCCAUCUCUGUGCUUGUCCCUGUGUCUCUUCAUUCAUCCAGGUAAUGGAGUGGACUGACCCUUGUAUGGGAGUUGAAUGGUGUGAAUUUUCAUCCGGGUUCCAGCCCUGGUGCAGUGCGCCCUAAUGGCAGUGACCAAAGCACAGUUGGGAUUGGGGAGUGGUUUCUCCACCUGGGGCACAUCCUCCAAAGCAUUUAUUUCCAGCAGUUUUAAAAAGAUAAGAGGCAUCAUGAAAAGAUGUUAGAGAGGAUGUAGUGCGGGAAGCCAGACAUGGAACCAACUCAGGGAACAUGAUCAAAGGGUACUGUCUCUCUUCUUCCA